rnacentral:lncRNA from 1 species
CUUCCACUAUUUUGUCCCACUCCCACUUGUUUUUUUUUCAUGCUUUUAAAACUCCCUUGUAAAUGAUGUAAAUGAUGACCCUGAGUGAUGUCAUGAUGGACACAAAAUGCUUUGAUCUGUCCUGAAUGAGUCUAAGCCCUUCAGUGAUUAAUUUUGAAACUUUGCAGGACUUGUGUUCAUUCAAUUCAGGGGGCUAUAAAUGGUGAGGUAGAACAUGUGUCCUGUGCAAAAGGGCGGCUCCAGCCCUCCAUCACAUACAUCCUUCAGUGUCCUGAGCCAAAACUCCUCCCCUGUAGUGCAGGUGUUUUGAAUAAGUUGUAAUUCUUGCUGUUCCCCUCAGCCUGGUGGCAGACUUAUCCUAAUGAAGAUGUGCUGUGUGUCAUUCACAGAGCUGUUGGGCUAGCUCGGGAUAAAAUUUUAAGUGGAAGGAAUGCAUUCAUUGGAAUCUAAGUUUUUUAAAAUAUAAUUUUAUUUAGUAAAAUAAAAUAACUCUGAGACUUCCCCUCCUUGGAAUUACACCUGUGCUUGUUCCCUGGGAAAUGCUGCCCUUCCUGGCUGUGGAUGGAUCCAAAACCUGCUGUGGUUUCCUAUGCUGUGUCCUGGAGCACCUGGAGCACCAUAACACUGAGCAACUCUUUUACAGAGAAGGUGAACCUGUGAAACAUCUGUGUCCUCAGGUGAAUCAGGACACCAAGUGUACAGAUGGAAUAAACCUUGCACGGACACCAGCCUUCGUGGCUCCCCUGUGCAGCUCCAGUGCUCUCAUGCCAGGCCUCCAGAUGUACAACAGGCAGCCAGCCUGCUGUGCCCAGCCCAGGACAGUCACUGAAACAUCAGGUACCGUGAAAAAACUGCAGGCAGCCUCUUUAAACCACGCAGAGCAGAAUGUCUUAAACCAAGCAGCAAAUAACUGCUUUAUUAACCAAACAGUGCACACUAGAUGGCAUACCACUCCUUACCUACUGCUAGCCCUGCUGUGCUAUAUCACUAUUAUUAUACUCGAGUUAAGACAACAUCCAGAUUUGCAUGGUAUUUCUCACACUUCUGUGGGUCCAUGCCAGGCAAACACAGAUGCAAAAUCACCAUUCAGCCUGCCAGAGGUGACAAAUCUCUGCUGAAUCAAUGGGAGAUGCGGCGUGUUGUCCUGAGCUCUAUCUCCCCCCUUCUUGAUGUCAUGUAAGAUGAUCAAAUCUCAUCUGCAGAGAAUCAUUUUCUCCUUCCCUUGUUGUUUUAAAGGUGCAAUUCUUGAUGCAAAGCUGCUGGCAAAAAGGAGAUGUCAGGACCAAGAGAUAGCAGUUGUGGGAAGAGACGACAGGGCCCUGCUGUGGGAAGAUGCCUUGCAAUACUUUAAUUUUAGCCGACCAAUCUUGUUA